AUACUGGCUGGGCAGGGCGCACAUCGCUGGUUCGCGUGUGGGCAUGUCGGCAUGGUUGGCGGGUCCGCAUCUUGGAAUGAGUCGGCCUACCCCCACUUCAAGGUAUCUUGUUUGCGGUCUUUUACAUGGACGUAUAUGCUGAUAGGGAUAUGGAGGAACCGACGCCAGGAAAGUGGCGACUUUUAGCCUGACCUUGCGUGGCUCGCGCGAGGGUCGGUCGCGCUGGAAAGGCGAAAACAAUUCAUUGCACCAGCCCCGAGGCCACUUGCCCCACACACAACAUAGAUACAUAUUAUAUAUGUAAUAUGAAAUACUCGCACAGGCAAGCAGCCGCAUGGCGCAGGUGUGCCACGCCGUGCCGUCGCCGGCGACCCUCGCCGCGCCACCUCGGGGCCACCGGGGCCCGCCCGGCCCCUCCGCCGCGUGCACAGUCGGCCCUUGGGCUCCCAGCUAGCUUGCACUAUGAGACCAGCAGCCGCCACUGCAGUCGCGCUCGGCAGGGCAUAGCACGCAGGAGCCCAGGCCGCGGCGCCAUGGCGGGGCCCUGAGCGCCGCCCAGCCAGGCGAGCAGACGCUCUUGUGCCAUAGACCGGCGCCCACAGGGGCCAUAAGGCUGUGUGACAAGGCUGUGAUAUACAGCAGAGACAGAGGACAGCAAAAGACGCGACAUAAAGCCCGUACGACGUACACACGUCCCUCUGUGCACCUUCCUCUCACGCACCCGCCUGCAUCACCUACCGCCGCCGCCGCCGCUCGGUAAACCAGUCACGGCCCCGGCGUGCGACCGGGCGCAGGCCGGCUGCCAGCGUCAUAAUACGGGAAGCAUAUGUGACAUGUCAGCUGCUAUGCACCAGAGGGUCCAGGGCAUGUGGUUGUGGGCACGCAGGAGUGCAUGCGCUUGUGGGUGUUUGGGCGUGCAUGCCCGCUUGAUCGCAUGUGUAGCACAAGUGCCCCGGAGGCUGUGCAGCGCGCCUGCCCCGCCCCCGCUAUGUCAAGCUACACUAGGUGGCAUGCAAACACGGCACUCAGCCCGACAUAACUAGCGGUGCCCUGACCACACGGUGGCCGGGCGCCCGGCAGCCCCUCCCUGCGCAGGGCCCAUCGACGGGCCCAGCGCCUGCGUGACGGCCCCACAAAUGCCCCAGCCUGCUUGGACUCGGCUUGUGACCAUAGACGCAUGACUACAGCAUACUGGCUGGGCAGGGCGCACAUCGCUGGUUCGCGUGUGGGCAUGUCGGCAUGGUUGGCGGGUCCGCAUCUUGGAAUGAGUCGGCCUACCCCCACUUCAAGGUAUCUUGUUUGCGGUCUUUUACAUGGACGUAUAUGCUGAUAGGGAUAUGGAGGAACCGACGCCAGGAAAGUGGCGACUUUUAGCCUGACCUUGCGUGGCUCGCGCGAGGGUCGGUCGCGCUGGAAAGGCGAAAACAAUUCAUUGCACCAGCCCCGAGGCCACUUGCCCCACACACAACAUAGA
rnacentral:lncRNA from 1 species